GCCGAGAGGAGCCUGAACAGGUGGUGCAUGGCUGUCGUCAGCUCGUGUCGUGAGAUGUUGGGUUAAGUCCCGCAACGAGCGCAACCCUCGUCGCAUGUUGCCAGCGGUUCGGCCGGGCACCCAUGCGAGACCGCCGGCGUUAAGCCGGAGGAAGGUGGGGACGACGUCAAGUCAUCAUGCCCCUUAUGUCCUGGGCUGCACACGUGCUACAAUGGUCGGCACAAUGGGCUGCCAGCCCGCGAGGGCGAGCGAAUCCCUAAAGCCGGCCCCAGUUCGGAUUGGAGGCUGCAACCCGCCUCCAUGAAGUCGGAGUUGCUAGUAAUCGCGGAUCAGCACGCCGCGGUGAAUGCGUUCCCGGGCCUUGUACACACCGCCCGUCACACCACCCGAGUCGAUUGCACCCGAAGUCGCCGGCCCAACCCGCAAGGGAGGGAGGCGCCGAAGGUGUGGUUGGUAAGGGGGGUGAAGUCGUAACAAGGUAGCCGUACGAGAACGUGCGGCUGGAUCACCU
rnacentral:rRNA from 1 species